GACGUAGGGCGCAAGCGUUGUCCGGAUUUAUUGGGCGUAAAGAGCUCGUAGGCGGCUUGUCGCGUCGUCCGUGAAAACCCACAGCUCAACUGUGGGCUUGCGGUCGAUACGGGCAGGCUAGAGUUCGGUAGGGGAGACUGGAAUUCCUGGUGUAGCGGUGAAAUGCGCAGAUAUCAGGAGGAACACCGGUGGCGAAGGCGGGUCUCUGGGCCGAUACUGACGCUGAGGAGCGAAAGCGUGGGGAGCGAACAGG
rnacentral:rRNA from 1 species